rnacentral:sRNA from 1 species
UUACUCUUUGUACAGGUAAGCCACCGAG